rnacentral:rRNA from 1 species
UACGUAGGGUGCGAGCGUUAAUCGGAAUUACUGGGCGUAAAGCGUGCGCAGGCGGUUUUGUAAGCCAGAUGUGAAAUCCCCGGGCUUAACCUGGGAAUGGCAUUUGGGACUGCAAGGCUCGAGUGCGGCAGAGGAGACUGGAAUUCCUGGUGUAGCAGUGAAAUGCGUAGAUAUGCGGAGGAACACCAGUGGCGAAGGCGAGUCCCUGGACAACUCCUGACACUGAGGCACGAAAGCUAGGGGAGCAAACAGG